CCUACGGGUGGCAGCAGUGGGGAAUAUUGGACAAUGGGCGAAAGCCUGAUCCAGCCAUGCCGCGUGUGUGAAGAAGGCCUUCGGGUUGUAAAGCACUUUCAGUGGGGAAGAAAGCCUUGGGACUAAUACCCUCGAGGAAGGACAUCACCCACAGAAGAAGCACCGGCUAACUCCGUGCCAGCAGCCGCGGUAAUACGGAGGGUGCGAGCGUUAAUCGGAAUUACUGGGCGUAAAGCGCGCGUAGGCGGUCUGAUAAGCCGGUUGUGAAAGCCCCGGGCUCAACCUGGGAACGGCAUCCGGAACUGUCAGGCUAGAGUGCAGGAGAGGAAGGUAGAAUUCCCGGUGUAGCAGUGAAAUGCGUAGAGAUCGGGAGGAAUACCAGUGGCGAAGGCGGCCUUCUGGACUGACACUGACGCUGAGGUGCGAAAGCGUGGGUAGCAAACAGGAUUAGAUACCCGAGUAGUC
rnacentral:rRNA from 1 species